GAUGAACGUUGGCGGCGUGCUUAACACAUGCAAGUCGAACGCUAGUAGCAAUACUAGAGUGGCGCACGGGUGAGUAACACGUAGCUUACCCUGCCUCAGAGAGCGGGAUAACGUUCCGAAAGGAAUGCUAAUACCGCCUAAGCUCACGGUCUGUAGAGGACUGGGAGAAAAGGGGAAACCCGCUUUGAGAGGGGGCGUGCGGCCCGACUCAGCUAGUUGG
rnacentral:rRNA from 1 species